ACCUGGGUGGCUCAGUCGGUUAAGCAUCUGACUUCGGCUCAGGUCAUGAUCUCAUGGUUCAUGGGUUCAAGCCCCGUGUCAGGCU
rnacentral:tRNA from 1 species